UAGGCGCACGGGUGAGUAACACGUAGGUAAUGUGCCUUUGGGUGGGGAAUAACUUAGGGAAACUUAAGCUAAUACCGCAUAAUGCGAUAACUUCUUCGGAAGAUUUUGUUAAAGAUUUAUCGCCUGAAGAGCAGCCUGCGGCAGAUUAGCUAGUUGGUAAGGUAACGGCUUACCAAGGCUACGAUCUGUAUCCGACCUGAGAGGGUGGUCGGACACACUGACACUGAAUAACGGGUCAG
rnacentral:rRNA from 1 species